GACGAACGCUGGCGGCGUGCCUAAUACAUGCAAGUAGAACGCAGUUGCGAACGGGUGAGUAACGCGUAGGUAACUGCCUCAUAGCGGGGGAUAACUAUUGGAAACGAUAGCUAAUACCGCAUACUGUGAGAUGGACCUGCGUUGGAUUAGCUAGUUGGUGAGGUAAAGGCUCACCAAGGCGACGAUGCAUAGCCGGCCUGAGAGGGUGGUCCGCCCCACUGGGACUGGAACCCGGCCCAGACUCCUUCGGGGGGGAAGCGGUGGGAAACUUCGGCAAUGGGCGGAAGGCUGGCCGAGCAAAGGCGCGGGAGUGGAGGAGGGUUUCGGGUCGUAAAGCUCUGUUGAUUGGGGAGCGGUAACUAACCAGAAAGCGACGGCUAACUACGUGCCAGCAGCCGCGGUAAUUC
rnacentral:rRNA from 1 species